GCCUGGAAUGAAGGAAGAGAACACAACGACCAAAUGAAAUCGUGAUUGAUUCACUGCUUUCGCUAAACAUCAUCAGGAUUUUAUUUCUUGUUUUUCACAACAUCAACAUCUAUCAAGCUCCUAUAAACACACUGUCCUGCCUUGAAGGUGUUUAGUGAAACACAGUAACCCAGUAUCAGUUAUGUUUGAACUCAUUUUGUCACAUUACAACCACAAUCUUUAACGUAGGUUAUUUAGGUUUUAUGUGACAGCACAUAAUUGGGACGUAAAAGAAAAUGGUGAAUGGUUUUCAAAAUUACUUAAAAAUCUGAAAAGUUUUGUUUGAAUUUGUAUUUAGCAGCUGUAAGUGUCUGGUAGGAUGGGUGUCUUCCUGCUUUGCAGCUGAUGAGAAGAAGAGGAAUGUCAGUUUUCAUGUCUUGCCCAGAUUAUCAACUGCAUCUAUUUCUAGACUUUGACUGGGGCCACUCUAAUGCAAUCUGACUUUCUUUUUCUCAGGAUUCCGAAAAAAAAAAACAUUCUGAGGUCAAAGCUACAAUUUUGGGAAAACAGUGAGAUUAUGAAAUUAUAGUUUGAGUUCUGAGAUUAUUGUCAGUUUUCUUGAAAACUCAUAAAACGGUCUGAAUAAUGAGAAAAAUGUUAGAAUACUGAGGUUAGAAUAAGAGAUUCUGAUAAAGACAAAUUUCUCAGACGUUCUGGGAUUAAAGUCUGAGAUUAAAGUCACAUUUCUGAGAAUUCUGGAAGAAAAGUGAGAAUAAAAUCUGAGAUUAAAAUCUGAAUGAUGUUAUUAAAGCAUAAGAUUCUGAUAUUUAAGUAAGAAUUAUAAGAUUAAAGUAACAUUUCUCAGAAAUUGUCACAUUUCUUGAAAACUGAGAAAAAAGUCAGAAUACUCAGAAAAGAGUUAAGAUCCUGAGAUUAGAGUAAAAUAUUCUCAAAGACAGAGAAAAAUGGCAAAGCAAGUGUAUACACACAAAUAUAUAUUGUAUAUAUAUAUAUAUAUGUGUGUGUGUAAAAAUUAAACAAACACUCUCCAGGAAGGUUAAAAUUUUAACAUGAAUAUUUUGCAGUUAUAAAAAGAUAGAAUACUCCUACAACAAAACGUGAAAAAGUUAACGACAUAAUUUUAUAAUUCAACACCUUUGAAAAACAAGAAGCUGAAGUUAAAACAGGAAGUGGAAUGAUAUUAUACAGAUGUUUAGGAUAUUCUGUUCCCUGUUUUGAGAGACGACCUGAUCCAGGAGCGCAGCUGUGCAUAUUCACACUGGAGGCUCUUUAAUUAAGCCAGUUACACACACACACACACCCACGCACACACACGCA